rnacentral:rRNA from 1 species
AUGAACGCUGGCGGCGUGCCUAAUACAUGCAAGUCGAGCGAACGGACGAGAAGCUUGCUUCUCUGAUGUUAGCGGCGGACGGGUGAGUAACACGUGGAUAACCUACCUAUAAGACUGGGAUAACUUCGGGAAACCGUAGCUAAUACCGGAUAAUAUUUUGAACCGCAUGGUUCAAAAGUGAAAGACGGUCUUGCUGUCACUUAUAGAUUGAUCCGCGCUGCAUUAGCUAGUUGGUAAGGUAACGGCUUACCAAGGCAACGAUGCAUAGCCGACCUGAGAGGGUGAUCGGCCACACUGGAACUGAGACACGGUCCAGACUCCUACGGGAGGCAGCAGUAGGGAAUCUUCCGCAAUGGGCGAAAGCCUGACGGAGCAACGCCGCGUGAGUGAUGAAGGUCUUCGGAUCGUAAAACUCUGUUAUUAGGGAAGAACAUAUGUGUAAGUAACUGUGCACAUCUUGACGGUACCUAAUCAGAAAGCCACGGCUAACUACGUG